GACGAACGCUGGCGGCGUGCUUAACACAUGCAAGUCGAACGGAAAGGCCCCUUUGGGGGUACUCGAGUGGCGAACGGGUGAGUAACACGUGCGUAACCUGCCCUUGACUUCGGGAUAACUUCAUGAAACUGGGGCUAAUACCGGAUAGGAAUCCUUGCUGCAUGGUGGGGGUUGGAAAGCUUCGGCGGUUUUGGAUGGACUCGCGGCUUAUCAGCUUGUUGGUGGGGUAGUGGCUUACCAAGGCUUUGACGGGUAGCCGGCCUGAGAGGGCGACCGGCCACAUUGGGACUGAGAUAAGGCCCAGACACCGACGGGAGGCAGAAGGGGGGAAGAUUGCACAAGGGGCGGAAGGCUGAUGCAGAAACGCCGCGGGCGGGAUGACGGACUUCGGGUUGGAAACCGAUUUCAGCAGGGGCGAAGCUUGUGGUGACGGUACCUGAAGAAGAAGCACCGGCUAACUACGUG
rnacentral:rRNA from 1 species